rnacentral:lncRNA from 1 species
CAGAGUUUGGUGCUGCUGCAUUUAGACAGCGUAAUGUGUUUUAAGUGCAGUGAUUAUGUGAGUGUGUAAAACCCCAACUGUGUGUUGAAUGUGUGUUUUGGGGUGCUUUCAGGAUGUUAAGCUGGGUGGGUAAAGUGGUUCCCCAGCCCCCAGAGGCCUGCGAGGAGAAACCAGAAGCACGGCCUUCUGCAGCUGAGAAGAAGGUGACAUUCAAGGAAGAAAGCAAAAAAGCGGUGACACUAAAAGAAGAGGAGGCGUCUGAGGACAGCAGGUGAGUCUUAAUAAAUAUUAAUUAAAGAGAUAGUCCCCAGUAUUUAGCAUCUUGCUGUGCACAAGCAGAGUGCACAAAGUUUGAACUGCCGUGCAUGCAUGAGUUAACUUCCUUGUCAGAGGCGGCCUCGCUCAUGAGUCCAAAAAGAAUCCACGGAAGUUUCCACUUUGAUUCCCUCA